rnacentral:rRNA from 1 species
AAUAUUAAGAGUUUGAUCCUGGCUCAGGAUGAACGCUGGCUGUGUGCCUAAUACAUGCAUGUCGAGCGAGGCUAGCAAUAGCCUAGCGGCGA